rnacentral:lncRNA from 1 species
AGCAGAGUUGACAUCCACCACGUUCCACAUCACGCAGGAGUCAUCAGAGAUCACAAUGAAAGGCCAGAUGUCCUGCGGCUUGAUUCCCAGCUCCUCCUGCCGGUUCCGCUCGAGCUCCAGGUUAUGGUAGGACAGCUCCUUGAUGAGGAAGUGAGCGGCACCUGCAGUGGGCAAAGCAACUGGACUCAGGACUGACCUGCACCCACACCCACAGCAGACAGACCCCAGGCAGACCUGCUGUCGGGGCCGCCCAGACAAGCCAGCUCCGACCUUCCUGACAUGAAUCACCUGUCACAAAACACGGCCCAUGGGCUAGGGAGAGAAAACUACAGGGAGGAAAACACUCCUCUCCAGGUGGAACACAAAUUUGCUUUCUUAUGCUUUCUUCUCUAACCAUUGAAAAUAUCAAUUUGGCCAGGCGCAGUGCAGUGGCUCACGCCUAUAAUCCCAGCAGUUUGGGGGGCCGAGGCAGGCCAGUCACCUGAGGCCAGGAGUUUAAGACCAGCCUGGCCAACAUGGUGAAACCCCGUCUCUACAAAAACGCAAAAAUUAGCCAGGCGUCAUGGCUGGUGCCUGUAAUUCCAGCUACUUGGGCAGCUGAGGCGGGAGAAUCGCUUGAACCCGUAAGACAAAGGCUGCAGUGAAUCGAGAUCAUGCCGUUGCACUCCAGCCUGGAUGACAGAACGAGACUCCAUCUCAAAAAAAAAAAAAAAAAAAAAAGAGAAAGAAAGAAAGAAAGAAAGAAAGAAAGAAAGAAAGAAAGAAAAUAUCGAUUAAAUGGAUAACCAAACACUGGGUGCAGGUAGCGGGGAAAGACUGCAUAAAAGAGUCAAACAAAAUGAAAAUAGCUUUAAAAGUCCAAAAGUAAAAGGCCUGAUGUCACAUGUUUAACUUUUGUCUCUAGAAUACUCUCGCAAGUGUUCGUUCACAGGUGUUUGACUGAGUAGAUGAUGUUAAAGGACACUCACCAACUCCAGCGCUGUUGAAGAUACUGGGGAGCACCAGCAUGAUGUGGUUGGGCCAAUAUUUCUUAUAAAUUGCCAUCUCGUAUUCCUUGACAACCAGCACGUGCAAAUGGCUGGCACCGUCCAUUGCGUGGUACAGAUUAAAGAGCCCAUGUUCGUGACGGCCGGUGGUUGGAGUGAAUGUCGGACUUUUUAUAUAUUCAUGGCUCUGCAAAGUACAGGUAUCAUGAGGUAGAGUGUUUGUAAAUGUGGCCGCAAUUAUUCCCUUGACAUGUGACUUUGCAGCAUUUUCCAUCAAAGAAUGAUGACCAUUCCUAUACUGCUGGAAUUUUCAGCCUUGUGACUUGCUUUUACCAGUAAAGGGGAGGAAAAAUGGCCUUGUGCCAGUCCUGGGCAUAGCCUCAAGAGGACUUAAUGUUCCACACCCUCUCAGAACUCUCCCAUGCACAAGCCCGGGCUAGCCUGCUGGACGAUGAGAGACCACAUGGAGGAGAGCUGAACAGCCCAGCUGAGGCCACCAGCCAGCCCGCAGACAACCUGCUGGCUCACUAUCGACACGAUUCAACUGGCAGAGCUAGGCCUUCUGCUCCCUCUGAAUU